rnacentral:rRNA from 1 species
UGGCGGCAGUAGCGCGGUGGUCCCACCUGACCCCAUGCCGAACUCAGAAGUGAAACGCCGUAGCGCCGAUGGUAGUGUGGGGUCUCCCCAUG